UACAGAGGGGGCAAGCGUUGUUCGGAAUUACUGGGCGUAAAGGGCUCGUAGGCGGCCAACUAAGUCCGACGUGAAAUCCCCAGGCUUAACCUGGGAACUGCGUCUGAUACUGGGUGGCUUGAAUCCGGGAGAGGGAUGCGGAAUUCCAGGUGUAGCGGUGAAAUGCGUAGAUAUCUGGAGGAACACCGGUGGCGAAGGCGGCAUCCUGGACCGGCAUUGACGCUGAGGCGCGAAAGCCAGGGGAGCAAACGGG
rnacentral:rRNA from 1 species